GGACUUUUUUGGUAAUUUAUUUUAGUUUGUCUAGUUUUAAUGACAUCAUCACUAGUAGCCUGUUAGUGAGUACAGUGAAGCAAGCAUGGUUGUACCUGCCGAAUAAUCCUGUUCCAUCUACCAUCUGCUCAAGCUCUUUUCAAGCAUCGUUGUUUUACCUUUUCUCAACUUGCUACAUUAAACAAGUAAACUA